rnacentral:tRNA from 1 species
GCGUCGGUAGUCCCGUAGGGUGCGGGGGGGGUCUGUAAAACCCUUGUCCAAGUGGCCCAGUGAGUUCGACUCUCACCCGACGCA